GAUGAACGCUGGCGGCGUGCCUAAUACAUGCAAGUCGAGCGAACAGAUGAGGAGCUUGCUCCUCUGACGUUAGCGGCGGACGGGUGAGUAACACGUGGAUAACCUACCUAUAAGACUGGGAUAACUUCGGGAAACCGGAGCUAAUACCGGAUAAUAUAUUGAACCGCAUGGUUCAAUAGUGAAAGACGGUUUUGCUGUCACUUAUAGAUGGAUCCGCGCCGCAUUAGAUAGUUGGUAAGGUAACGGCUUACCAAGGCAACGAUGCGUAGCCGACCUGUGAGGGUGAUCGGCCACACUGGAACUGAGACACGGUCCAGACUCCUACGGGAGGCAGCAGUAGGGAAUCUUCCGCAAUGGGCGAAAGCCUGACGGAGCAACGCCGCGUGAGUGAUGAAGGUCUUCGGAUCGUAAAGCUCUGUUAUUGGGGAAGAACAAAUGUGUAAGUAACUAUGCACGUCUUGACGGUACCUAAUCAGAAAGCCACGGCUAACUACGUG
rnacentral:rRNA from 1 species